rnacentral:rRNA from 1 species
GAUGAACGCUGGCGGCGUGCCUAAUACAUGCAAGUCGAGCGAACAGAUGAGGAGCUUGCUCCUCUGACGUUAACGGCGGACGGGUGAGUAACACGUGGAUAACCUACCUAUAAAACUGGGAUAACUUCGGGAAACCGGAGCUAAUACCGGAUAAUAUAUUGAACCGCAUUGUUCAAUAGUGAAAGACGGUUUUGCAGUCACUUAUAGAUGGAUCCGCGCCGCAUUAGCUAGUUGGUAAGGUAACGGCUUACCAAGGAAACGAUGGGUAGCCGACCUGAGAGAGUGACAGGCCACACGGGAACGGAGACACGGUCCAGACUCCUCCGGGAGGCAGCAGUAGGGAAUCUUCCGAAAUGGGGGAAAGCCGGACGGAGCAACGCCGCUUGGGUGAUGAAGGUCUUCGGAUCGUAAAACUCUGUUAUUAGGGAAGAACAAAUGUGUAAGUAACUAUGCACGUCUUGACGGUACCUAAUCAGAAAGCCACGGCUAACUACGUG